AUGGAUCCAAUUACCAUUGCUGCCGUAGGAUGGAGCGUAACCAUGGUUGGUUGGGUCGCCUCCACUACCAUCUCUAAGCUCCUCACCAAAGGCUUCGAUUACCUCGAAUAUGACACAGCAAAGAAGCUAGCACAACUUGAGCCAAAACUCUUGGUGCUGGAACGGGUCAUGGAAGUUGUCGAGACGAGCCCAUACAAGCCUCGUCUAGAGCAGCUGUUCAAGGAGCUUAAAUCUUCUUACUAUGAAGCCGAAGAAAUCUUGGAUGCUGUCGAGUAUCACUGUCCUGAGAGACAGAUCAAAGCUGACAAACUACAGAUUGGCGGUGUAGCACGUCCACCUAAUAGGGAUCCUAAGAAGAAGCUCUGGUAUGCCAUGACCAAGUUCUCCCCCUUGAAGAAUAAGGAGAGUGGUAUGUCAAAUAAGAUGUUGAUAAAGAGCCUAAAGAAGAUAGAAGAAGUUAUAAAUGAAGCACACCAAAUUCUGGAUGAGCUUAAUUUGUCCAGCAUAAGUAAUGACAACAGAAGACAGAAAAUGGUUGCCAAUGCUCCUACUACAGCAGUUUCUCCACACAAGGUAUUUGGUCGAGGUAAUGACCGCGACAAGAUCAUAGCAAUGCUUCAUGAAAAGGAAGGUGAUCAUCCAAGCACCAGCAAUGAUCUGUGCUUUUCUGUAAUUGGCAUACAUGGAAUCAGCGGGUCUGGGAAAUCUACCCUUGCACAGUUUGUUUGUGACAACGAAAAGAACAAGAAAGGCCAUUUCGAUCUUGUUAUGUGGGUUAAUCUUUCUCAGAAUUUUAGCGUGAGCGACAUUUUCGAGGAGUUUUAUGAGGCAGCAUCACAACCCAAGGAUACUUCCGAGCCUAAGGUUGCAUGCCCUCAAUUUCAUAACCUGAAUCAAUGUUUUAAAUAG
rnacentral:rRNA from 1 species